UCUCGCCUCUCAUACUAUUAAGGUAUUACGAUGAUGUUGCUUGUGUGCUAAGAAAAAUGUGUUUAGACGCAAAGGCUCCUCAUCUUUCAUCGACUCUACCACCUACUUUGCCUUGGAAGUUCAAUAAACAUGUACAGCCUAAUAAAGGACUAACCCGCCAAGGCAAUGGGAACUCAGAAGAGCUACAUUGUGUCAUUGUUGUUAUUCGACAGUAUGUUUUCUUAGCAUAUAAAUCACCUUUAUCUCCUCUAUACUUCUAUCUGUUAAAAUUUUGUUAUUACAUGACAGUGGCGAUCGAACUCCAAAACAGAAGGUGAAACUAAAUGUUACAGAGGAGAAACUGUUAAACCUGAUGCUAAGUACAAUGGUGGAAAGCCAAGAGCUGAGACAAAACUAAAAAGUGCAGUCCAGUUGCAAGACCUAUUAGAUGCAACAAGAAUGUUAGUUCCCCGUACAAGACCAGGUCGUGAGAGUGAUAGUGAUCCAGAAGACCUUGAACAUGCUGAGAAGCUUCACCAAGUUAAAGCAGUUAUUGAAGAGGUUCUUUAGUAAUUUCUUUUUUUUUGUUGAACAUAGUCCGGGGAAAGUAUUACAUAGUAUCAUUUAGUAAUACUAUCUUAUAUCAUUUUUUUGUUGAAUAUACUAUCUUAUAAGUAAGCUAGCAUUAUGCAUUUUUUAUUUAAUUCAUGAGGUCAUUUCAAAGCAGUAAAAAAAACCUAGAAAAUUAAUAAUCGAACCAGCUACCUUUUUUUAUUAGACCGGAUAUUAGUUCCACCAAUAAUCGUGGUCAACUUACCAACAUGGUGCAUAUAUGUCAAAUUGACAAAUCUACGUUUAAAUAACCCAACCUGUAAGGGAUUUAGAUUUUUUUUGUGAAUCUCGUGGACUGAUCUAUCGCAGAUUGGGGUUCAUAGGUGAAGUUUCAAAAAAUUGUUAUAAUUUGAUUGGUCGAUUGUUU